ACAGGUAUUUGGUUUGUUUUAAGAGUUUGCUUUCAGGAAGGUUCUGUUGUAUUUAACCUUAGACAGGGAGAACAAAUAGUUCUCCCAGAUCAGGCCGCAACAAAGCUUGCUCCCAUGUUUGUUUUCUACCCCAUGUUGUAAAUUCCUGAAGCCUCCUGACCCUUUUUCAACCCUCAUGUUGUAACCUCCUGACCCAACCCCCCUGACCCUUUUCUCCCGAUGUGUGAAAAUAAAAGCAAGAGGACAGAAAUGACCCAACGCAGACGUUCCUAAACCUUAAGGGAGUGUAGUUCUCCGUUUGGGUUCUUCUGUCCUUUUCUAUAGAAAUGUCUAAAACUUGUGUUGUGUGGUUUUCAUUCUAGGAUAAAAGGGGUUAUCUUUAAUAACCCUAUCAGCCUGGUGCCGUGACGCGGAUCCCAACAUAUCAACUCGCUGACGAGAGGAGCGGACACGCUGAAACCCACCGGUGGUCGGAGUCAAGGACCUGUCUAAAAGUCCCGGGAGGUAAUUUCCUCGCUGGGCCAGCGUCGUAGGUUAACUCCUUUCGCCAACGAGGGAUUGACGGGAUCCGACCGGGAGAAGAGCACACCACAGCAAGAUCCACAAGCAGUGAGACCAGGAGACUGUGUGUUCAUCAAAAUCAUCAGAAGGAAGGACUGGGCGAGCCAAAGGUGGGAAGGACCAUACCAAGUGCUCCUGACCACGCCAACAGCUGUGAAGAUUGCUGAAAGACCAUCCUGGAUUCACCUCAGCCACUGUAAGUUACAGAGAGUGUUAAAUACCUAAAAGGUUGGAACAUUGGGGAAGUCCGACUUCAAAGGGGUUUGGUUUUUUAGGGCCACUCGUCUCAGUGUCGGUGAAGGAACCAACUGAUCCCUGUUCUUUAGAGUCCUGGGUAAAAUUAACAUCUCUGCUAACCUAGCAAAAAUGGAGUUCCCAUGCAGAAGGGGUUUCUUCUUUUGCGUUGUGGCUGUUGCGUGCAUUAUUUGUUUCAGUCCAGAUCCAAGGAGUGAGAGGAAAAAGAGGUUCAUCCACUCCGCUGCCAUGAAGAUUUGGCUGGGUGAUAUCCCAAACCACUACGAUGACAACCUAUGGGAAACCAAUGUUACAGGCUAUCCCACCAAGAUGAAGGCUGUUAUGUCUAAAGGAAUGAAACAUCCAGUGUGUAUUCACUCACCUAGAGGGAACGAUACGGUGAAAGUAGGGCAUGCAGCAGGAUGCCAGAGUACCAUCACUGACCUUUACUCUGACUCUGUCUGCGACCUCCUCCCUAAUAGAACGUACACCAGCUGUUCUACUUGGAAACCACAAGUCAACUUUCCUACAGAGGGUGGCUGGUUCCUGUGUGGAGGAGACAGCAUUUACCCAUCACUGCCCCGCAGCUGGUCAGGUACAUGUGCACCUGUGUUUGUUUCUGACCACACUGUUAUCAUCUCAGCUCAAGCUGUAAAGGACCAUCAUUCCUCUGAUAGGAUGAAAAGAGAACUCAGCUCCAGCUCAGUGUUCCAACCCCAUGAUCCCAUGUGGGGGUUCCAACGUUCCCUCUGAACAUAAGCACUGGAGCACAGCGAAUAAAGUAGUACUUUCACUUUUCCCGUGGUUUGGAGUUGGUAAAUCUAUGCUGAUGAUUGAGACAUUGGACUAUAGAAUGAAGACUCUGGUGAACAUGAUGAUGGACAUCAACAAAGGACAAAACAAACAACUAAGUGAAAUGCGUUUAAUGGUACUGCAAAACAGAAUGGUUUUGGACAUGUUAACUGCUAGCCAAGGUGGUGUAUGUGUGAUGAUCGGAAAAUCCUGCUGUACAUAUAUUUCUGAUGUAAAUGAAACUCAUAUUACUGAAGCUAUGUCUGCUUUGAAGAAUCUGCAACAAGCAAUGUCCCAGGAUGUUGCUCCUCUAAGUAUGAACUUUCUCUCCUGGUUCUUUUCAGGACCAUGGUGGCACCUUUUGCUGAAAAUAAUGACACCUAUUAUUAUUGUUCUUAUUAUUCUUUGUGUUUUUACUGCUUGUGUAAUCCCAUGCCUAAAGUCUAUGAUUGCUAAAACUAUGGGAAAUGUAAUGUUUCAAUAUCAAACGCUUUCACAUAUCCCUCUUGAAGAAGUACACCCCAUAGUUUAACUUUUCCCUUGUUAAAUGCUUGACAAAGUCACAGUCUCAUUGAAAAUGCAGAAUGCAAGAAAAGAAUACUUGAAGUAGGUUAAGUUAAGCUUUAAAGAAAAUGAUUAAAAGGGGGGAAAUGUUGGAGAAAUGUGAAUGUAAUCAUUUUAUUUCUAUCAAGUUACAGGUAUUUGGUUUGUUUUAAGAGUUUGCUUUCAGGAAGGUUCUGUUGUAUUUAACCUUAGACAGGGAGAACAAAUAGUUCUCCCAGAUCAGGCCGCAACAAAGCUUGCUCCCAUGUUUGUUUUCCACCCCAUGUUGUAAAUUCCUGAAGCCUCCUGACCCUUUUUCAACCCUCAUGUUGUAACCUCCUGACCCAACCCCCCUGACCCUUUUCUCCCGAUGUGUGAAAAUAAAAGCAAGAGGACAGAAAUGACCCAACGCAGACGUUCCUAAACCUUAAGGGAGUGUAGUUCUCCGUUUGGGUUCCUCUGUCCUUUUCUAUAGAAAUGUC